rnacentral:rRNA from 1 species
UCCUACGGGAGGCAGCAGUGGGGAAUAUUGCACAAUGGGCGCAAGCCUGAUGCAGCCAUGCCGCGUGUAUGAAGAAGGCCUUCGGGUUGUAAAGUACUUUCAGCGGGGAGGAAGGCGAUAAGGUUAAUAACCUUGUCGAUUGACGUUACCCGCAGAAGAAGCACCGGCUAACUCCGUGCCAGCAGCCGCGGUAA